rnacentral:ncRNA from 1 species
UAUUGACUGCCACCGGGUAGUGAGUGCAUAGGACACUUGUGUCACAUCGUUAGGUCUUAGAAGAUGUGAUAUGAGCGUCCAUUUUUUU